AUCCACCACAGCAGGGAAAAGCAAAGCCGGAAGUCCCCUCGCCGUGCCACGGAGAUGCCGUCGAGGGGCUGCUUCCGUCCCAGGACGUCGCGCGCGCCUCUCCCCUCGCGGCGCGGUCAAGGCCCGGCUCCCCGGUCUCACGGCUCCUGAAGCCAGGCUCCCCUCGUCCGCAAGGUGUGUGUCAGGUGUUCUCAACCGCCGGGCCGGGCGAGGCGCCGUGGGGGAGACGGGCCGAGCAGAGGGCCCGGCGGCCCAGGUUUUCAGCGCCAGGAGCUCGUCGGGAGUUGCGGCCCGUGCGCAGACCGGCGAGGCGCGCGGCGCGGAGAGGGGCCGGCUGCCCUAGAGGGUGACAGGGCCUUCCGGAGAGGACCCUCGGGGAGAGAGCCGGAGGAGAGAUGGAGCUUGGAGUGUGCUGAGGUUUCAGGCUCUUACCUUCAGAUGGUGAAAAAGAGGCUUGGGAAUCUACCUGGCUCUGCCUCAGCCGGAUCUAAGAGUCUAAAGGUACCUAUCACGAACUCCUAAAGGUAAGGCAGAUGUGUUUAUUCUGUUAUUUCAUGUUUUAAUUAGCUACUAUAGUGUGUACAGUUCACUGGCAUUCAGCACACUCACUAUGUUGUGCAACCACCACCUCUGCCUGGUUCCAAAGCGUGUUCACACUCCAAAAGGAAUUCCCUGGCCCCUACGCAGUCACUCUCUCUUCCUCCUCUCACCAGACCCUGGCAACAACUAACCUGCUUUCUGGAUGUUUCAUUUAAAUGGAAUCAUGUGAUAGGCGAACUUCUAUGUUCAGCUUCUUUCACUUUAUUUUUAAGGCUCACCCAUGUUGUAGCAUGUAUCAGUAGGUCGUGGCUUUUUAUGGCUGCAUAAUAGUCCAUGGUAGGGAGAUCCCACUUUUGUUUAUCCAUUCACCCAUUGAGGGACACUUGGGUUGUUUCCACAUUUUGGCUGUUGUGAAUUGUGCUGUUAUGAACAUUGGUGUACACGUUUUGGGUUGAGCACCUGUUUUCAGUUCUAUUGGGUAUAGACCUAGGAGUAGAAUUUCUGGGUCGUAUGGUGAUUUUGAGGAACUGCCAUACUGUUGUCCAAAGGGGCUGAGCUGUUCUACUUUCCCACCAGCAACGAGUCGUAUUUUCUUUUCCUAUCUGCCUCAGCACUACUGCCUGGUACAUAAAGAGAAGUUGGAUGCCUGGCACUGUGAGGAAUCUCUUUUCCUAGGCUCUGCUUGAUAUUCAUGCCAACCUAAGUACUAAGGUUGAUAUUAAUGUGCCCAUUUUACAAAAGAGAAACCAAGGCCAGAAAAGCUGAGCUCUCCUACCCAAGGCCUCAUAGAAUCACCAUUAUUCCAAAGGUUGUGGAUUUGAGAGGAACGUGUCACUAAAACCCCACACUUACAUUUAUGAAAAAUAUUCCCUACUACACCAGCGCAGCCCAGAAAUGGGCCAACGAGAUGGACGGUUCAUAAAUGGCAUUACAUUUGGGAAGUCUCAGGGAGAAGAGAACAUCAAUUCGGCUUCAUUUAACUUAAGUUCCCAGAAAAAAUCUCCCCUAACCUCUCCUCGGGGCUCCCGGUAACCCAAUGUCAGGCCAAUUCCCUGAACUUCUACUGAGAACUCAUCAUUUAAAGGAGAUGAGUGGACGAAAAUCAUGGUAAAUCCUUUCAAGGGGAAAGAAGUAGGUGGAUGGGUCAUCCUUAGUAAGGUGUUCAGGAAUCCUAGGACCAUGAUUUCAGCUCUGCAGAAAUGUUCAGUAACCUUACAACUAAUUGUCUGAGAAAGUGAGCCAGUAUCAGGCCUUGACACUCAAAUGAGGGUAACUCCUGCAGAUUUUAUGCAGAUGAUCCAAGGGGCUAAUUCUGAAGGUGUGGGUGGGUAGAGGGGGACCAAGAACCGGGUGUGUUAUUGCCCGGAGGCCUGAAGCAAGGUGGGAGGGAGAGGUGACAGGAACCUGACCCAGGAGUUGAAAGGUUCAGGGACAAAGCCAGACCACAUGACCUUGCAGGGAGGGGUCAGGAGAAUAAAUAUGCUGGCCUCACACUCUUUUCCCCUCUCCAGUCUACUGUGGGCCUCCCACUGGCCAAACCCAAGCAGAAGCCAAGGAGGAGUCCUCUUGCUGCCAUACAGGCCAGAAACUUAGAAUCAUCGCUGGACACCUACCUCUUAGGUAUCACUCUGACCCUUCCACUUCUCGCCCAUACCCACCGCCCCCAGCAACCUCGCUCGCUCAACUACAGCUGUGGCCUCCCAGGGACGGUCGCCUCGCAGUUCCUGCCCUCCCAUCACCCAACCUCCACCCGGCAAGAUGAGCGAUCCUCUCAAAAGAAAGGGGACAGCAGAGAUACCUUACUGACUGCUGCAAAUCCUGGGUCUGGGUGUGGAAAUGCCGAGAAGGUAC